AUUUUGGUAAAAAUAAAAAAUAAUAAAAAUAAUAGGAAAAGAAGAAACCUAUGUAUGAAAGGUAGACAACUUUUUUUUGCGCUGUUUGCUUUUUUUUUUUUGCGCUGUUUGCUUUUUUUUACGAUUUUUCUCAACUUUUUUUUGCGCUUUUUGCUUUUCUUUAUUAACUAAUUUUUUAAUAAAAAAUCGAUGAAACCGAUGAAAAGUGUUUUUGAUAUUUUGACUCGUUUCGGAUUUGAUUUUAGCUUCAAAAAUAACACCGAAUGGCCUGAAACUGAUACCAACUGAUGCUGAAUCCCGGAU
rnacentral:lncRNA from 1 species